AGAAAUUAAAUGUGAGAUAAAAGAAGAUAUCCAUUAAAAAUAAUAAGUUCAUACAACCCCAAGAAUAAAAAAAUACAAAACCCUUAUCCUUUUGCUAGGGCUGCAUCCAGCCCUAGAGAGGAGAUUAGCUUUCCAUGGAGUCGUGGGUGACAGUAGCAGCGCAGCAGCGGGCUUCCAUCUAUUCAUUCAUUCUCCUAGAGACUCCACUGAAAAUAGCUCCUUCUCAGCUCUUAUGGGAAGUCAAUCCCAAAAUCCCCCAAACUAAUCUCUCUCCUUUUAUUUCUUCUUCUUCUCGUGGGAACUUGGCCUCUGAGGAGAGAUAUGGAACCAAACCCAAGAAGUUGCCUCCCCCGUUUCAUGCCUGGGCCUUUUAUAGGCUGCCAU
rnacentral:lncRNA from 1 species